UACAGAGGGUGCGAGCGUUAAUCGGAAUUACUGGGCGUAAAGCGUGCGUAGACGGCUAUCUAAGUCGGGUGUGAAAGCCCCCGGCUCAACCGGGGAACGGCGCGGGAAACUAGCAGGCUUGAGUUCGGGAGAGGGAAGCGGAAUUCCGGGUGUAGCGGUGAAAUGCGCAGAUAUCCGGAGGAACACCGGUGGCGAAGGCGGCUUCCUGGACCGACACUGACGCUGAGGCGCGAAAGCUAGGGGAGCAAACGGG
rnacentral:rRNA from 1 species